rnacentral:lncRNA from 1 species
GAAAAUGCCUUUUUAAAAAUCACUCAAAAAUAGUUGUUAUUUAUAAAGGCACAUUGAAAUCUCACUAAAUUGAAGUUAUCUACUGAGUACACUGUCCCUGUGCACGUGUGCUCAGUUAUGCCCAACUCUUUGUGAGCCCGUGGACUGUAGCCCACUAGGUUCCUCUGUCCAGGGGGUUUUCCAAGCAAGAAUCUUGGAGUGGGUUGCCAUUUCCUUCUUCAGAGGAUCUUCCUGAUGCAGGGAUUGAACCUGUGUCUCCCACACUGCAGGUGAAUUCUUUACCACUGAGUCACCAGGUAGGUUAUUUACUGAGCAUAGACCAUAUACAUUUGUUCACUGAGUGUAUUGAGUUAAUUACCAUAGGUAGUACCCACUGUUUUCCAGGUCACAGCCCAAGAAUAGCACAUUUAGUUCCCACAAAGAAUCUUAGAGGCAGGUAGAGAGAAAUGGAGGUACAAAGAGGUGAUGUACUUGCUCAAGUUUACACAGUGGGCAGAGCAGGGACUCAAACUCCCAGACUCUCUCAUUGCUUUCCUUGAUGGCUAUGUUACAUUGUCUCAGUAGGUACAGAUGUACCUCAUGGGAUCUGGAAAACAACAAGAACAUUAUUCCUGCACAGUCUCUUUCUUCAGAUUCCUUGCAUGGAUAACUCCAGAGGAAGAAUCUGAUUGAUUGAUGUUAAAUUAGAGAUGCACACUGGUCCAAAGUGUUGUAGACAUGGGGUAAGUAGGUCCUCUGGUAUCUGAAACCUUGAGAAGAACAAGAUUUAUCAGAAGGGAGGAACUGGACAAUGGCUGCAAACUUUAGUGAAGGAACAUUAUAUUUUUUGGAAGUAAACAGAGGGAGAGAAGGGUAUAGUCUUUGGAGACAGUCAGCCAUGGGUUCAAGUAUUUACUCUGCCAUUUUGACAGCUUCACCUUGAACAAGAUGCUUAGCUUCCCUGAACCUAAUAUUUUCAGUGCUUAUGCUUUAAAUGAUCAGAAUCAUUGAUAAAAACAUCUCCCCCACUACACUGAUAAGAGGAUUACAUCGUAGGAGGCGCAGAGUAGGAACUCAGCCAGUGUCAUUUGUCAUUUGUCAGGAGCAGCCCCUUGGACAGAGUCAGGAAUGAUGGAAGCUAAUGACCUCCCUCCAUCCAGUAGCUGACCUCUCCAUGUCACACCUCACUUCAGGAACAGCCCCCAUGCAG